rnacentral:rRNA from 1 species
GACGCAGCAACGCCGCGUGCGGGAUGACGGCCUUCGUGGUUGUAAACCGCUUCAGCAGGGACGAAAAUGACGGUACCUGCAGAAGAGGCCCCGGCUAACUACGUGCCAGCAGCCGCGGUAAUACGUAGGGGGCGAGCGUUGUCCGGAUUCAUUGGGCGUAAAGAGCUCGUAGGCGGUUCAGUAAGUCAGGUGUUAAAGCUCCGAGCUCAACUCGGAGAGGCCAUUUGAUACUGCUGUGACUAGAAUCCAGUAGGGGGAGCGUGGAAUUCCUGGUGUAGCGGUGAAAUGCGCAGAUAUCAGGAGGAACACCAGCGGCGAAGGCGGCGCUCUGGGCUGGAAUUGACGCUGAGGAGCGAAAGUGUGGGUAGCAAACAGGAUUAGAUACCCUGGUAGUCCACACCGUAAACGUUGGGCACUAGGUGUGGGGAGGAAUCAACCCUUUCCGUGCCGUAGCUAACGCAUUAAGUGCCCCGCCUGGGGAGUACGGCCGCAAGGCUA